CAUGAACGCUGGCGGCGUGCCUAAUACAUGCAAGUCGAGCGAACGGACGAGAAGCUUGCUUCUCUGAUGUUAGCGGCGGACGGGUGAGUAACACGUGGAUAACCUACCUAUAAGACUGGGAUAACUUCGGGAAACCGGAGCUAAUACCAGAUAAUAUUUUGAACCGCAUGAUUCAAAAGUGAAAGACGGUCUUGCUGUCACUUAUAGAUGGAUCCGCGCUGCAUUAGCUAGUUGGUAAGGUAACGGCUUACCAAGGCGACGAUGCGUAGCCGACCUGAGAGGGUGAUCAGCCACACUGGAACUGAGACACGGUCCAGACUCCUACGGGAGGCAGCAGUAGGGAAUCUUCCGCAAUGGGCGAAAGCCUGACGGAGCAACGCCGCGUGAGUGAUGAAGGUCUUCGGAUCGUAAAGCUCUGUUAUUAGGGAAGAACAUAUGUGUAAGUAACUGUGCACAUCUUGACGGUACCUAAUCAGAAAGCCACGGCUAACUACGUG
rnacentral:rRNA from 1 species